UGGGGAAUAUUGCACAAUGGGCGCAAGCCUGAUGCAGCCAUGCCGCGUGUGUGAAGAAGGCCUUCGGGUUGUAAAGCACUUUCAGCGGGGAGGAAGGCGUUAAGGUUAAUAACCUUGGCGAUUGACGUUACCCGCAGAAGAAGCACCGGCUAACUCCGUGCCAGCAGCCGCGGUAAUACGGAGGGUGCAAGCGUUAAUCGGAAUUACUGGGCGUAAAGCGCACGCAGGCGGUCUGUCAAGUCGGAUGUGAAAUCCCCGGGCUCAACCUGGGAACUGCAUUCGAAACUGGCAGGCUAGAGUCUUGUAGAGGUGGGUAGAAUUCCAGGUGUAGCGGUUAAAUGCGUAGAGAUCUGGAGGAAUACCGGUGGCGAAGGCGGCCCCCUGGACAAAGACUGACGCUCAGGUGCGAAAGCGUGGGGAGCAAACAGG
rnacentral:rRNA from 1 species